UACGGGGGAGCAAGCGUUGUUCGGAUUUACUGGGCGUAAAGGGCGCGUAGGCGGUCGUGACAAGUCACUUGUGAAAUCUCCGGGCUUAACUCGGAACGGUCAAGUGAUACUGUCGGACUAGAGUACAGAAGGGGCAACUGGAAUUCUCGGUGUAGCGGUGAAAUGCGUAGAUAUCGAGAGGAACACCUGCGGCGAAGGCGGGUUGCUGGGCUGAUACUGACGCUGAGGCGCGAAAGCCAGGGGAGCGAACGGG
rnacentral:rRNA from 1 species